rnacentral:lncRNA from 1 species
GAUACACUGAGCUAUGGGACUUGCUCAGACUCUCCUCCUGUUAGGCAGCAGAAUCUAAUAAGAAACAGACAGUACACAAUGAAGUCAUCAAGAUCAGGUGUCUGGUGCAAGUAAGACUUGCCCCACAGGAGCUGGGGUCGUGGAAACAGAAGUGAAGAAAUUGAGACAUGGAAACGCAGGAUAACAUCCUGUGUCCAUUCUCAGAAAGACUGUUCUCUGGGAUGUUCCCUAAGAUUCUGCGUGACUCACUCAUCUCUGUGGAGUCUGGCUGUUUGGUUGUUCCUCUUUGAGGCAAGGCCGGGGCUCUUCCUGCCUUACCCUAGCACGACAGCGGAUAUGUGCUCUGCCUGCUAGCUCACUGUUGUUUGUGCUGGAAAGAACCCGGGCCCAGCCCAGAGCCACGUUGCAGGGCUCAGGACUGCUCUGAAACACUGCCACCUAGUGGCGUGAUGAGGGUUCUGUAGCUCAGGAAUCCUGAGAGAAGCAAGGAAGAAUCUUCUAGCAUGUGGGGGACUCUCGGGAC